rnacentral:rRNA from 1 species
UACGGAGGGUGCAAGCGUUGUCCGGAUUUAUUGGGUUUAAAGGGUGCGUAGGCGGCUUUUUAAGUCAGCGGUGAAAGACAACAGCUCAACUGUUGCAGUGCCAUUGAUACUGAAGAGCUUGAGUACAGAUGAGGUAGGCGGAAUUUAUGGUGUAGCGGUGAAAUGCAUAGAUACCAUAAAGAACACCUAUGGCGAAGGCAGCUUACUAAGCUGUAACUGACGCUGAGGCACGAAAGUGUGGGGAUCAAACAGG